UACGAAGGGGGCUAGCGUUGCUCGGAAUCACUGGGCGUAAAGCGCACGUAGGCGGACUCUUAAGUCAGGGGUGAAAUCCUGGAGCUCAACUCCAGAACUGCCUUUGAUACUGGGGGUCUUGAGUUCGGGAGAGGUGAGUGGAACUGCGAGUGUAGAGGUGAAAUUCGUAGAUAUUCGGCAAGAACACCAGUGGCGAAGGCGGCUCACUGGCCCGAUACUGACGCUGAGGUGCGAAAGCGUGGGGAGCAAACAGG
rnacentral:rRNA from 1 species